AUGAUAAGUUUACUGAUGGCGAGGCAGCAGCAGUGGAGGCGAGCGGGGAAAGCGGGCGCGGCGGGCAGUCAGCUGUGAGGCGGUGGUGCGGUGAGACGGGAGCAGGUGAGGGCGUGCGGCGCUUACAUUCAUCCACCCCGUAACAGCACAUUAUUGACUGCGUGGCAAACAGACCAUGACAAGGGACACCUGAGGGACAAGAGGACUUACUAUCUACGUAUCUUGCACCUGAAGCAGUAGCACCCACGAUGACAGAAAACGGGGGGCUUGCGACGCCUCCCCGGGCCACCAAAGAAAAUGGGGAAGAGGUUGCCAGCGAUGCGGAGGACUAUAAGGAACUGUACCUGCAGGAGAUGGAGAAGAGGAAGACGGUGAUGAAGCUGGCGCAGAAAGCCACGCGGGACUACGAUGACCUGAAGCAACAGUACUCAGGUGACCCAGACCGCCGAGCUGCUGAAGGUGCGCCUGGAGGAGCGAGAACAUGACCUCCACAACCUGCAAACCGGUGAGUGUCAAGUGUUUGUUCCUCUCACGCCCGGCUGCUUUCCGCUGCUUUUUUCGUCCUUUCUGAUAAGCGAUACGAGAGAGGAACUUGGUAUCAUUGAAUUAUUGUUUUUCUCUACUUUAUUCAAGGUUACAAAUGGAUGAUAACGGAGAUAGAGGGAUGUAAUAGAAAUAGAGAUAUAGAGAAGUUAGCACAUUUUUCUUUCCAAGGGUAUGAACAAGAUCUAAGAAGAGAUGAUCAUUAGUAUAAGAAAUAAUGCACGUUCUAUUUUUUUUCUUCUAAGCAACGGCACAGAGAUGCUUAAGAGUAGAAGACAGAGAUAUCGCACUUUUUCAUACUUUGUACCUCUACGUAAGGGAAUAUAGUUAUGCUCAACAGGACGAGAGGCAUAACGCAUGUUUGCUUUUUUGAUCUUCUUGAGGCUAUAGAGAUGCCCAGCCAAAGAAGAGAGGAAUAACGCAGUUUUUACCUUCUUGUGCCUCUAUUCAAGUGCAGAGAGAUUGCUGAUGGUACAAAAAGAUAAAUAAUGUGUUUUCAGCUCCUGCUUAUAUGAUCAACUCAAGAGAAAAGGAAUGAUGCAUUUUUACUAUUCUUUUUAUUCAAGGGUAGAGGGGAGACAAGAUGAAGGCCUUGAUUUCCUUCGUCCCUCCCUGCUUAGAUACAUUAUAGUCCUCUGCUUUUAUAUUCUUUUCAACGGUGCAGGAGAGGAUUAAUGCGCCUUUCACCUUUCUUUCUUUAUUCAAGGGUAUAGAGAGAAAGAGGAAGGAGAGAUUAGUUCGGAAGGUACGUAACAGCCGCUCAAAGGGACGAAAGCAAACGCGUGUAUAUAGUGUACAGAGGUGGUUUAUGGUGCCCGUCCUUCCCUUCCGCCCUUCCCUCUCACAGCAUCGACACCCGCUAAAAGUUUCCCCUUCCAUCCUAUAUUCCUGAGAGAGAGAGAGAGAGAGAGAGAGAGAGCAACGUUGCCAGAUAGUCGUACUCAGCCGAUUAUAUUUCCCGACUUCCUACCCCCAAACUGUAUUCUGGGCUCCAAUAACGAAACAAAUUUAUAGUUAUCGUUAAAAGAGUUAGAUCCUGAUGUUUCUUGGCAAUAGUUAGGCGUCAGAAACCGGUAAAUACUAUGCUCUGAGUACGACAAUCUGGCAACGGUGAGAGAGCGAGCGUGAGAGCGAGCGUGAGAGCGAGAGCGAGCGUGAGAGCGAGAGAGCGAGAGAGAGAGAGAAAUAUAUAUAACUUGAAUAGAAGAAUGUGUAUAGAAACGGCAUAAACAAAACUGUUAAGCGUCCCGUCAAAAAAGUCUGCGGUUUCAUUGAUCCCUAUUUGACACAUCUCGCGGGCAGGGAAAACUCAAUUCUCUAAAGGACCACAGACAGUGAGUAUCACACGAUCGGAAUUCCUUUAACAACAUUCCAUCACUAGGAAGCAAUAGAAACCCGUAAAGUUAGAUUGGUUAUAGGAAAGAACGGAUGGUCGGCAGCUUUUUCCCACGCGCGAGAACCAGGAAAAGGAAGAGAGAAAUGAUAUGGUUGAGUACGGUAGAUUUUCACGGAAUAGAUAAGGGUGUGUUGAGUUGGUUGAGAGAGUGGGUUAGCUAUAGGAACUCGACGGAAAUACAUGUGAUCGUGGCUGCGUAGUGAGUGAGGCUCCCCAGGGUUCCGUAUAUUAUUG